rnacentral:misc_RNA from 1 species
GAUGAAGAACGCAGCGAAAUGCGAUAAGUAAUGUGAAUUGCAGAAUUCAGUGAAUCAUCGAAUCUUUGAACGCACAUGGCGCCCGCCAGUAUUCUGGCGGGCAUGCCUGUUCGAGCGUCAUUACAACCCUCAGGCCCUCGGGCCUGGCGUUGGGGAUCGGCGGAGCCCCCCGUGGGCACACGCCGUCCCCCAAAUGCAGUGGCGGUCCCGCCGCAGCUUCCAUCGCGUAGUAGCUAACACCUCGCGACUGGAGAGCGGCGCGGCCACGCCGUAAAACACCCAACUCUUCUGAAGUUGACCUCGAAUCAGGUAGGAAUACCCGCUGAACUUAAGCAUAUCAAUAAGCGGAGGA